rnacentral:lncRNA from 1 species
UACCUAUUAUUAUGUGCCUAGUCUAUACACGAUGAACAGCGGUUUAUGUGUUGCCUAAAACGUUGUUGUUGAGGAUGAAAGUUGCUUAUUUGGUAUCGGCGAUAACAAUCGACAUGGUGACGAUUUCAGCUAUUCAAACCAUACAGAGGGGUGCCGAAUGUUGUUGAGCCAAACAAAUGAUGGACGUUGAAGACAGCGGAAAGCGUUGCGUAUCAGUUGGACGCAAAAAUGGUCCUUCAAAGGCAAGAAUUGUACCGAUGUUGUCUAUGGAUAUCGAUCAAUGACCACGAGAUAAAUUACUGGAGAGACGAAGAUUAUGCGGUAUUCAAUUCUUGCUAGUACUACCGAUUCUACUACCUACGAUAGAAGAGGCUGAUAGCGAAAGAGAACGCAAGAUUAGAGUCUUAGACCACAGAAGAAUCGCCGCCAAACCAGCAGAUAAAGCGACAUGUGGGGGUCAUAGGAGACUAGAACGUCUACUAUACAUAGUAGUAGCGCUGGAAGAAUUCAUGCCAUUUGGCUGUUGUGGGUCAGACAAAUAGAGCCGGCGCUACAUGAGUUUACGGUCAACUUCAUGUCACAGUCUACCAAGUCUGGUCGUAAUCACUCCUGAUUUGAUCGAUUUUCAACCGAGUGCUCCGUAGUCACUAGUGCUGACACUAUCACAUCUUUAGGCUCUUCUCCCUCUCAGCCCUGGCCUGGAUUCCAAUAGGGGCCGAUUGGCGGUGGUCACCACUAUUUUUUUUUUGGCUGGUAGGGUCUCCUAUCAGCUUUGUCUGACAAGUACUAGCAGAGAUGUACAUCUGUUAGUGUUGAUGAUCAUUGUGAUUUCAUUGUACGGAAUGCAGUCGAGUCGAAUCAUCUUUGCUCUCUCAUACAUUCGACUUUAUGCAAUACUGGUACCUAAUGUCUGAUCAAUGCGGUCGGCGCAUUUCUGCGAUUCGCACAUUCACGUACACACCAUAUCCCGACAGGGACCUCUAUGCCACACGGAAGGGAAAAGGGAGUUAUUAUCAAUACCCAGGAUAGGGAGGAUAUUAACUAAUCGCCAUACGGAAAUAGCAGCCAUAAACCUCCGAGAAUAGUACCACACUGAACGCCAG